GGGUUGUGAGGUUAAGCGACUAAGCGUACACGGUGGAUGCCCUGGCAGUCAGAGGCGAUGAAGGACGUGCUAAUCUGCGAAAAGCGUCGGUAAGGUGAUAUGAACCGUUAUAACCGGCGAUGUCCGAAUGGGGAAACCCAGUGCAAUUCGUUGCACUAUCGUUAACUGAAUACAUAGGUUAACGAGGCGAACCGGGGGAACUGAAACAUCUAAGUACCCCGAGGAAAAGAAAUCAACCGAGAUUCCCCCAGUAGCGGCGAGCGAACGGGGAGCAGCCCAGAGUCUGAAUCAGCUUGUGUGUUAGUGGAACGGUCUGGAAAGUCCGACGGUACAGGGUGAUAGUCCCGUACACCAAAAUACACAGGUUGUGAACUCGAAGAGUAGGGCGGGACACGUGGUAUCCUGUCUGAAUAUGGGGGGACCAUCCUCCAAGGCUAAAUACUCCUGACUGACCGAUAGUGAACCAGUACCGUGAGGGAAAGGCGAAAAGAACCCCGGCGAGGGGAGUGAAAAAGAACCUGAAACCGUGUACGUACAAGCAGUGGGAGCACCUUUAUGGUGUGACUGCGUACCUUUUGUAUAAUGGGUCAGCGACUUAUAUUCUGUAGCAAGGUUAACCGUAUAGGGGAGCCGCAGGGAAACCGAGUCUUAACUGGGCGUUAAGUUGCAGGGUAUAGACCCGAAACCCGGUGAUCUAGCCAUGGGCAGGUUGAAGGUUGGGUAACACUAACUGGAGGACCGAACCGACUAAUGUUGAAAAAUUAGCGGAUGACUUGUGGCUGGGGGUGAAAGGCCAAUCAAACCGGGAGAUAGCUGGUUCUCCCCGAAAGCUAUUUAGGUAGCGCCUCGUGAAUUCAUCUUCGGGGGUAGAGCACUGUUUCGGCUAGGGGGUCAUCCCGACUUACCAACCCGAUGCAAACUACGAAUACCGAAGAAUGUUAUCACGGGAGACACACGGCGGGUGCUAACGUCCGUCGUGAAGAGGGAAACAACCCAGACCGCCAGCUAAGGUCCCAAAGUCAUGGUUAAGUGGGAAACGAUGUGGGAAGGCACAGACAGCCAGGAUGUUGGCUUAGAAGCAGCCAUCAUUUAAAGAAAGCGUAAUAGCUCACUGGUCGAGUCGGCCUGCGCGGAAGAUGUAACGGGGCUAAACCAUGCACCGAAGCUGCGGCAGCGACGCUUAUGCGUUGUUGGGUAGGGGAGCGUUCUGUAAGCCUGCGAAGGUGGCCUGUGAGGGCUGCUGGAGGUAUCAGAAGUGCGAAUGCUGACAUAAGUAACGAUAAAGCGGGUGAAAAGCCCGCUCGCCGGAAGACCAAGGGUUCCUGUCCAACGUUAAUCGGGGCAGGGUGAGUCGACCCCUAAGGCGAGGCCGAAAGGCGUAGUCGAUGGGAAACAGGUUAAUAUUCCUGUACUUGGUGUUACUGCGAAGGGGGGACGGAGAAGGCUAUGUUAGCCGGGCGACGGUUGUCCCGGUUUAAGCAUGUAGGCGGAGGUUCCAGGUAAAUCCGGUACCUUUUAACGCUGAGGUGUGAUGACGAGGCACUACGGUGCUGAAGUAACAAAUGCCCUGCUUCCAGGAAAAGCCUCUAAGCAUCAGGUAACAUUAAAUCGUACCCCAAACCGACACAGGUGGUCAGGUAGAGAAUACCAAGGCGCUUGAGAGAACUCGGGUGAAGGAACUAGGCAAAAUGGUGCCGUAACUUCGGGAGAAGGCACGCUGGUGUGUAGGUGAAGUCCCUGCGGAUGGAGCUGAGACCAGUCGAAGAUACCAGCUGGCUGCAACUGUUUAUUAAAAACACAGCACUGUGCAAACACGAAAGUGGACGUAUACGGUGUGACGCCUGCCCGGUGCCGGAAGGUUAAUUGAUGGGGUUAUCCGUAAGGAGAAGCUCUUGAUCGAAGCCCCGGUAAACGGCGGCCGUAACUAUAACGGUCCUAAGGUAGCGAAAUUCCUUGUCGGGUAAGUUCCGACCUGCACGAAUGGCGUAAUGAUGGCCAGGCUGUCUCCACCCGAGACUCAGUGAAAUUGAACUCGCUGUGAAGAUGCAGUGUACCCGCGGCAAGACGGAAAGACCCCGUGAACCUUUACUAUAGCUUGACACUGAACAUUGAGCCUUGAUGUGUAGGAUAGGUGGGAGGCUUUGAAGCGUGGACGCCAGUCUGCGUGGAGCCAACCUUGAAAUACCACCCUUUAAUGUUUGAUGUUCUAACGUUGGCCCCUUAUCGGGGUUGCGGACAGUGUCUGGUGGGUAGUUUGACUGGGGCGGUCUCCUCCCAAAGAGUAACGGAGGAGCACGAAGGUUAGCUAAUCCUGGUCGGACAUCAGGAGGUUAGUGCAAUGGCAUAAGCUAGCUUGACUGCGAGCGUGACGGCGCGAGCAGGUGCGAAAGCAGGUCAUAGUGAUCCGGUGGUUCUGAAUGGAAGGGCCAUCGCUCAACGGAUAAAAGGUACUCCGGGGAUAACAGGCUGAUACCGCCCAAGAGUUCAUAUCGACGGCGGUGUUUGGCACCUCGAUGUCGGCUCAUCACAUCCUGGGGCUGAAGUAGGUCCCAAGGGUAUGGCUGUUCGCCAUUUAAAGUGGUACGCGAGCUGGGUUUAGAACGUCGUGAGACAGUUCGGUCCCUAUCUGCCGUGGGCGCUGGAGAAUUGAGGGGGGCUGCUCCUAGUACGAGAGGACCGGAGUGGACGCAUCACUGGUGUUCGGGUUGUCAUGCCAAUGGCACUGCCCGGUAGCUAAAUGCGGAAGAGAUAAGUGCUGAAAGCAUCUAAGCACGAAACUUGCCCCGAGAUGAGUUCUCCCUGAGACUUUAAGUCUCCUGAAGGAACGUUGAAGACGACGACGUUGAUAGGCCGGGUGUGUAAGCGCAGCGAUGCGUUGAGCUAACCGGUACUAAUGAACCGUGAGGCUUAACCUUACAACGCCGAAGCUGUU
rnacentral:rRNA from 1 species